rnacentral:rRNA from 1 species
GUCCAGCCGCCGCGGUAAUACGGAGGGUGCAAGCGUUGUCCGGAAUCACUGGGCGUAAAGGGGGCGCAGGCGGGGCAGCAAGUCGGAGGUGAAAGCCCAUGGCUCAACCAUGGAAGUGCCUUCGAAACUGUUGCUCUUGAGUCCCGGAGAGGCUGUCGGAAUUCGUGGUGUAGCGGUGAAAUGCGUAGAUAUCACGAGGAACACCAGAGGCGAAAGCGGGCAACUGGACGGGUACUGACGCUCAGGCACGAAAGCGCGGGGAGCAAACAGGAUUAGAAACCCUGUAGUCC